UGAAAUAAUAAUGCAUAUUUUUUACAAUAAGACAAAAAUCCGUACAUCUCAGGGUAAAUGUUUCUGCAGCAAGACUAUUGCUGAUGAGGGUAAGUCUCAGGUACAACAGCACCCUCCUGGCUAGUAGUUCCCUCCCUGUAUCUUAUGGGUCACAUACAUGAGAAAAGCUUUCAUCAGCUCAGCUGAAUUAUAAGAACCUCUGAUGAAAGACAGGUCAUAUUCAUUAUUUACUUUGGUAGGAGAUAUAGCCGGCGAUACCUCUGUAUCUAACAAUGCAGCCCAGUCUAGAUAGAUCCCAAUUUUUCUUCCUCCCUGCGUACUGCACAAUAUGACAAGGAAAAUUUCAGUUCUCUUUGCUUCAUUAUGACUGCACACCAGUGUUGUUUUGUUUUGGGUUUUUUUGUUAAUGCACUUGUUGCCUGUGAGACCAUCAGCACCUGGAUCAUAGAGAAUAGGCCACCCUUCAACUCUUUAGGUAAACAUACCAGGAAAAUUACCUGGUAUUUGGUAAACAUACUUUUUGUAUUUGGUAAACAAACUUUGGUAAACAUACCAAAGUUAGAGAGGCUGAGCUUGUGAUGUUUGCUGCUUAGAUUAUGACAUCAAACGGGGGCUUUUCCUUCCUUUAAACUGUACCUAGAGCACCAUGUAGUCUGGUCAAACUGCUGGCAAAGGUGUGAUAAAAUGUUUGCUCAUUAAGACCGGGAUGUGGUAGCAUUGUGGUGGAGUGCUUGUUCAUUAGGACCGGGAUGUGAUGGUGGAAUAUGGAGGCCACAAGGGUUGCAGAACACUCUAAUUUUAUGGGUAGAUUGUGUACUCUGCAUAGUUACAGUGGCACGAUCACGACCGACCAAUUAAAGGACAAUACACUCGGAUGGACCUUACAAAAGAAGUUGCAAGGGACGGGAGAGGUGCGGCAGUUUGGAGGAACGAGGAUUCCCCUGUCGCCCGCGCUGAAUUGCCUUUUGUUUUACCCGCUACAAUUAAUAAAAGUUUCUAAUUGGAACAUUAUCGGCUCAUUGCUUGUAAAUUGAUGACAAUUUGGCGCCGUGACUCGGACGGGAAUACUGGCGUGGGUACGAGCCUGAGGGGGCGCCCCGCCUAAAUAGGCGGCCUCGGCUCCUAUCCUCCCGCCCUACUCCUGCCGACGAUCCGAAAUUUAAAACACAAAGGCAAGUAAAAA
rnacentral:lncRNA from 1 species